AUUGAACGCUGGCGGCAGGCCUAACACAUGCAAGUCGAACGGUAGCACAGAGAGCUUGCUCUCGGGUGACGAGUGGCGGACGGGUGAGUAAUGUCUGGGAAACUGCCCGAUGGAGGGGGAUAACUACUGGAAACGGUAGCUAAUACCGCAUAACGUCGCAAGACCAAAGUGGGGGACCUUCGGGCCUCACACCAUCGGAUGUGCCCAGAUGGGAUUAGCUAGUAGGUGGGGUAAUGGCUCACCUAGGCGACGAUCCCUGGCUGGUCUGAGAGGAUGACCAGCCACACUGGAGCUGAGACACGGUCCAGACUCCUACGGGAGGCAGCAGUGGGGAAUAUUGCACAAUGGGCGCAAGCCUGAUGCAGCCAUGCCGCGUGUAUGAAGAAGGCCUUCGGGUUGUAAAGUACUUUCAGCGGGGAGGAAGGCGGUGAAGUUAAUAGCUUCACCGAUUGACGUUACCCGCAGAAGAAGCACCGGCUAACUCCGUGCCAGCCGCCGCCGUAA
rnacentral:rRNA from 1 species